AGCCAUCCGAAUCCGUGCAGAUGUUUAGUCAGUCACCAACCCAUUAGGGCUGAUUAGACUUCCAAGAUAUGUGAAGUC
rnacentral:pre_miRNA from 1 species